UUGUCUCCCCACUGCUUUGUCCCGCCCCCCAGGCCACCCCUGCCCCUCCUGGGGCCUCCAUCUCCUUCUGUCUCCUCCUGUCCCUUCUUCCACCUACAGCUCUAAGAAGCAGUGCCAGCUUCUGGGGAGACACAUGUGAGUCAGGUGGUCUCUGACCUCAACGAGCUCCCAGCCUAGGACCUGGCCCAUCCUGGAAGCUGCCAGCAUCCAGGUGGACUGGACAGAGCAGGGGCUCCUGAGUCCACAGGUGUCUCCCGUGGGCUGGGUGACCUUGGGCACUGCCAUCGCCUGUAUGCACUGCUGCUCCCGCGUCUGUAACGAGGACCCCUUCCUGCCUGCCCCCUGGGGCUCUUCUGAGCUCUUGACGACAUAAUGCACGGAAAGCACACACGCCACGCCAGCGAACAGCAGUGCCACGAUGGAGAGCUCACAGGGAAAUCCUAGUACGCACACUUGGCUUGCCGUGGUUUACCUGGCGCUCUCGGAAGAUCCUGUGUCCCAGCACCACCCCAGUCCUGGGCACACAGUGUCACCCUAUCGAGGAUUGUGGGGCUCUUUGCCCACACCAGUAAGCAGCUCCAACGCCGCUGGAUGUCUUGCAACUCAACUCAAUUCUGACACUAUUGGAGAGAGCACCGGAGCCCACAGCUUAAGGGAUUGGUUCCACAGGACUGUCCCCUGUGAUCCUUCAGAUGCCAAUCACAGGCCCAGGUUGUCCCCUGUGCUUCUGACCCGACUGGCCACGGACUGUAGGUUCUAACAACCCUCUCUUCGGGUUUGAUCAGUUCGCUAGAGCAGCUCACGGCAUUCAGAGAAAUAGUUUGUUUACUACGUUGCUGAUUUAUUAGAAGAGGAGCCGGCCCAGGAACGGCCAGGUGGAAGACAUGCCUAGGGCCCCGAGCUUCCACUCCCUGUCCAGGUGAGUCACUGCCUAGGAACCCCACAUGUUCAUCCACGAGGAAGCUCUCCAAACCUUGCCCUUUCGAAUUUGUCUGGAGGCUUCCUUACAGAGGCAGGAUUGAUGAAAUCACCAGGUCCAUGACUACUGAGUCAACCUCCAGACUCUCUCCCCUCAGGGGGUCCGGGAAUGGGACUGGAAGUUCCAACCCUCUAAUCACAGGAGCGGUUCCCCUGGCAACCAGUCCCCUAUUAGGUGCAUUCCAAAAGCCACCUCAUUAACAUAAUAAGACACAUCCCCAUCGGUUGCUCUCUCUACAGGAAAUUCCAGGGGUUUUAGCUCAGUGCCAGAAAGGGGGGCGGAGAUCAAAUGUACAUUUUGUAUUAGAAGCCAUCAUGUCAGACCCUGCAAUCCAACUGAAACUUUCCAGCGCCCAAUGACAAGUGCACCUUUGUCAUGUAUGUUUCUUCUGAGGAUCCACCUUCUAUUUCUAUCAAAAUAACACACGUGUGGAGUUUUUAAAAGCCGGACGGUGCUACAAGGCUUAAAACAGACAUUAGCCGCCUCCCGCCCGUCUUCCCUGCUAAAAACAAGACAGCAGGUCCAAAUGGAGCCACUGGUGCUAAGCCCCUCGUCACCAAACGGAGACGUAAUCACAGUUUCAGCUCUCCCAGAAGCAGAAUCGUAAACCAGUCCAUUGCCGGAACAGGUCUUGAGAAGCUGGGGUUAGGUAUCCACCUGGCGGACCGAGGCCUCUCCUCAAGGAGCAACCUGGCCGCAACCAAACUGCUUUUUUGCUCUGCAUAACUCCCUUGUUCCCACACCCCCCGCCUGCCAUGUAAGUCUGAUUUUUCUACAGCUCCUCCGAGCUCCCUUCUAUCUGCUGGAUGGGAUGCGGCCCAAUUCGAAUGGACUUUUGCUCAAAUAAACUUGAAAAGUUUCAGUAUA